CCUACGGGUGGCAGCAGUGAGGAAUAUUGGUCAAUGGACGAGAGUCUGAACCAGCCAAGUAGCGUGAAGGAUGACUGCCCUAUGGGUUGUAAACUUCUUUUAUAUGGGAAUAAAACGUUCCACGUGUGGGAUUUUGUAUGUACCAUAUGAAUAAGGAUCGGCUAACUCCGUGCCAGCAGCCGCGGUAAUACGGAGGAUCCGAGCGUUAUCCGGAUUUAUUGGGUUUAAAGGGAGCGUAGGUGGAUUGUUAAGUCAGUUGUGAAAGUUUGCGGCUCAACCGUAAAAUUGCAGUUGAAACUGGCAGUCUUGAGUACAGUAGAGGUAGGCGGAAUUCGUGGGGUAGCGGUGAAAUGCUUAGAUAUCACGAAGAACUCCGAUUGCGAAGGCAGUUCACUGGACUGCAACUGACACUGAGGCUCGAAAGUGUGGGUAUCAAACAGGAUUAGAUACCCGAGUAGUC
rnacentral:rRNA from 1 species